GACGAACGCUGGCGGCGUGCUUAACACAUGCAAGUCGAACGGAAAGGCCCUGCUUUUGUGGGGUGCUCGAGUGGCGAACGGGUGAGUAACACGUGAGUAACCUGCCCUUGACUUUGGGAUAACUUCAGGAAACUGGGGCUAAUACCGGAUAGGAGCUCCUGCUGCAUGGUGGGGGUUGGAAAGUUUCGGCGGUUGGGGAUGGACUCGCGGCUUAUCAGCUUGUUGGUGGGGUAGUGGCUUACCAAGGCUUUGACGGGUAGCCGGCCUGAGAGGGUGACCGGCCACAUUGGGACUGAGAUACGGCCCAGGCUCCUACGGGAGGCAGCAGUGGGGAAUAUUGCACAAUGGGCGGAAGCCUGAUGCAGCAACGCCGCGUGCGGGAUGACGGCCUUCGGGUUGUAAACCGCUUUCGCCUGUGACGAAGCGUGAGUGACGGUAAUGGGUAAAGAAGCACCGGCUACCUACG
rnacentral:rRNA from 1 species